GAUGAACGCUGGCGGCGUGCCUAAUACAUGCAAGUCGAGCUAACAGAUAAGGAGCUUGCUCCUUUGACGUUAGCGGCGGACGGGUGAGUAACACGUGGAUAACCUACCUAUAAGACUGGGAUAACUUCGGGAAACCGGAGCUAAUACCGGAUAACAUAUUGAACCGCAUGGUUCAAUAGUGAAAGGCGGCUUUGCUGUCACUUAUAGAUGGAUCCGCGCCGUAUUAGCUAGUUGGUAAGGUAACGGCUUACCAAGGCAACGAUACGUAGCCGACCUGAGAGGGUGAUCGGCCACACUGGAACUGAGACACGGUCCAGACUCCUACGGGAGGCAGCAGUAGGGAAUCUUCCGCAAUGGGCGAAAGCCUGACGGAGCAACGCCGCGUGAGUGAUGAAGGUCUUCGGAUCGUAAAACUCUGUUAUCAGGGAAGAACAAAUGUGUAAGUAACUGUGCACAUCUUGACGGUACCUGAUCAGAAAGCCACGGCUAACUACGUGC
rnacentral:rRNA from 1 species